rnacentral:rRNA from 1 species
UACGAAGGGGGCUAGCGUUGUUCGGAAUUACUGGGCGUAAAGCGCACGUAGGCGGAUAUUUAAGUCAGGGGUGAAAUCCCAGAGCUCAACUCUGGAACUGCCUUUGAUACUGGGUAUCUUGAGUAUGGAAGAGGUAAGUGGAAUUGCGAGUGUAGGGGUGAAAUUCGUAGAUAUUCGCAGGAACACCAGUGGCGAAGGCGGCUUACUGGCCCGGUACUGACGCUGAUGUGCGAAAGCGUGGGGAGCAAACAGG